rnacentral:lncRNA from 1 species
GAGUGAAUGGGGAAUGAGCAUAACACUUAGGGCUCCCAGUUCAGAUUACAGAAAUACAAUGGGGCUCUGUGGCACCUUUGAUGGAAAUGCAGAGAAUGACUAUCACACUGCCAAUGGGGUGGAAAUACCAAACAAUUCUGAUGCUCUUUUUUCUUUUAUAAAGGAAUGGAGAAUUCCACCAGGAGGUAGCUUGUUUGACAACACACCUGCUUCAUUACCAUCUUCUAGGAAAACGGACUUCUGUGACUGCACAUUUGAAGAUGCUGGAUUAGAUCCAUCAGUACAUAAACUAAAGGCAAUUUCUAAAUCGGAACUUCCCCUGUCUUGUAAAGACAGUGAAAAUGGUAGAUAUCUUUCUUUGAUACCAGGACUGGAAGUCACUGCUGAGUAUCUCAGUCCUGCUGAUCUUGUCAAAGGCUUAAACAAACGUUCAUCUGUACAUGAAAUGGAUUCCUCUACACUUCUGCGGAAGGGGGAUAACCAAACCAAACUUCACAAAUCAUCAUCAGUAAACAGACAUGUCUCUGAAAUCUCAGAAAUAAGUUUUGGAAUAGAAAAAGAAGGAAC